UAAUGUGGAGCAGUCGUCUUGUCACAACAGUAUGUGUGCGUGGUGAGACGGUGAGAGACACUCACUUUGCUUUCUCCGCCGCACGCCGCCGGCCGCCUUGUGUGGAGCAGGGCGCACGCCGCCGGCUGCCUUCUCUCGAGCAGGGCGCAUCCUCUCCCGCCACGACGUCUUCUGCCCCCCUCCCCCUCCCCGCACCACCACCACCACCACCACGGCCUCACCCCGUCUCCUAUCCCCACGACGGCCUCGCCUCGCCGGCUCUUAUCCCCACCACGGCCUCGCCCCGCCGCCUCCUCUCACCACCGCGGACUUGUCUCGCCGCCAACCCCGUGGAUCUUCCCUAGAUCGACUCUGCCGCCGCCAUCAUACUGCCGCAGAGCAGAUCGAGAUGCGAGAUGCUGGACACGAUGCGGGAGCAGGCAUCUUGAAUUGGACCGAGAUCCAGUGCGUCGACCUCACACAGUCUCUCCGGGAAGGAGUUCGCAGCUCGCGUAGGUGUUCGGUUGCUGAAGGCACCUUCACCACAUUGUCAUUCAUUUGUGAGAUGUUUCUGUUUCUCUAUGUUGGCAUGGAUGCAUUGGAUAUAGAGAUUUGGAAGAUUGUUAGCGGAACACAUAUACAGGCAACUGCGGGGACUACCAACAGGCGGCGUACCUGCUACGUGUUGGUGAUGAGCAAGCUAGCCAAGGGGCAGCAUAGUGAAUCGAUGAAGAAGCUGGAAUCCUAAUAGGAGGAAUAUUUUCAACUGGUUUGACGCAUGUUGGAGGAGGCUUGAAGUGGCGGUCGUAACACAGUCAGUUGGGAGGACCCAAUGCCAGAGUCAAAAUUGUUGACAUUUUCUUUGUUAGAAACGGCUGUAUCUGGUGUUCUUAAUGAAGCUGGACCAUGAAGUUGAGUUAGAUCACUCAUUAUCACAUCAACAGGUAUGCCUGCAUCAUAAUUGUAUGUACAAUAUCAGUUGUUGACACACAAACGCCGGUGGGUGACACACAAAUAUCAGUUGUAGGACAACACAUGACCUUCAGUGGCUGUUGUGUGCUGUUGGUGAGUGACAACAGACUGCACACUUGGCCUCUCCACAGUGUCUAAAUCUGUCAGAAAUAACACUUAAUCAACAUGAUUUUACUUGUCAUUCACGACAUGCAUGAUAAAGGACAGGUAAAAUGGAGUAACCAGGUGACAUGGCCCCGGAUGGCUUUGAUGGAGUGUUGGUUCCAGUUACAAUAGCGGUGGGGUGAUGACACCGGAGGUAGGGCAGCACGCCGGCUGGAGGCCGUCCACCGGGUGGAGGACGUCGCGGGCACCUGGGGCGAGGGCGGCAUCGCGAAGAUGCCGGGGUGAGGAGAGGCAGCAAGUUGGGUGGAGGAUGUCCAGCGGGUCGAGGACGUCGCGGAGACCAGGGGCGAGGACGGCGGGGCGGCUGGCCGAGCGAGGCGGGGCUGAUGGCCGAGGCGAGGUUCGUGGACUGAUGCUGGCGUUGAUCGUGGAGUUUUGUGGUAUGGUGGCUGCGUUGAUUGUGGAGGUAUGUUAAAUUCCCUGGAGGGGUCAUCGUUGGGCUCUGUAGCAUCCUGGACGGGAGAGUCUGCCGGCAGAACAUUUCUUUUGAACCGUAGAUCUGAUUGUAGUUUGCUGGAUGUAACAUGGACAGUUGGAUGUAACUAAGUGGGUUUGAUCGGACGUGGGGGGUUAUCCCGUGUGCACUUUCCGGUGUGGACGUAGGGAAAGUAAUGUUUGGUCUUUUAAUAGUAAGUAUAGAUAUAGACUAGUACAAAUGCCCGUGCGUUGCACCGGGCGAAAAAAGAGGCACAACCUGCUUCAUAUUUCAUUGUGCACCAUUUUAUAUAUCCAAUUUUAUUAAACAUCGAUAAUAAAGUAAAGCUGAUUAUUACU